GAUGAACGCUGGCUACAGGCUUAACACAUGCAAGUCGAGGGGAAACGGCAUUGAGUGCUUGCACUGAAUGGACGUCGACCGGCGCACGGGUGAGUAACGCGUAUCCAACCUUCCCGUUACUGCGGGAUAACCUGCCGAAAGGCAGACUAAUACCGCAUGUUCUUCGAUGACGGCAUCAGAUUCGAAGCAAAGAUCCGUCGGUAACGGAGGGGGAUGCGUCUGAUUAGCUAGUUGGCGGGGCGACGGCCCACCAAGGCGACGAUCAGUAGGGGUUCUAAGAGGAAGGUCCCCCACAUUGGAACUGAGACACGGUCCAAACGCCUACGGGAGGCAGCAGUGAGGAAUAUUGGUCAAUGGGCGGAAGCCUGAACCAGCCAAGUAGCGUGCAGGAUGACGGCCCUACGGGUUGUAAACUGCUUUUAUGCGGGGAUAAAGUGAGGGACGCGUCCUUUUUUGCAGGUACCGCAUGAAUAAGGACCGGCUAAUUCCGUG
rnacentral:rRNA from 1 species